UACGAAGGGUGCAAACGUUGCUCGGAAUUAUUGGGCGUAAAGCGCACGUAGGCGGCUUUGCAAGUCCCAUGUGAAAUCCCACGGCUCAACCGUGGAAGUGCGUGGGAAAACUGCAGAGCUUGAGUACUUAAGAGGAUCGCGGAAUUCCCGGUGUAGAGGUGAAAAUUUCGUAGAUAUCGGGAGGAACACCAGUGGCGAAGGCGGCGUCUGGGAAGAUACUGACGCUGA
rnacentral:rRNA from 1 species